rnacentral:rRNA from 1 species
GCGCAGCAGUCGCGAAAACUUGUCAAUGCACGAAAGCGUGAACGGGCUACCCCGAGUGCCGUCCGCUGAGGAUGGCUUUUCUCUGCUGUAAGAAGGCAGAGGAAUAAGGAGAGGGCAAGUCUGGUGUCAGCCGCCGCGGUAAUACCAGCUCUCCGAGUGGUAGGGAUGAUUAUUGGGCUUAAAGCGUCCGUAGCUGGCCUUUCAAGUCUCUUGUUAAAUCCAGCGAUUCAAUCGCUGGACUGCGGGAGAUACUGGUAGGCUAGGGGGCGGGAGAAGCCGACGGUAUUUCCGGGGUAGUGGUAAAAUCCUAUAAUCCCGGGAAGACCACCAGUGGCGUAGGCGGCCGGCCAGAACGCGCUCGACAGUGAGGGACGAAAGCUGGGGGAGCGAACCGGAUUAGAUACCCCGGUAGUCC